UCUUCUUCCGACAGAGCUGUAGCAGAGAAGCAGACGAGAUCAUACAAGGAACACCAAUCUAAAAACAGCGCGCUUCGUGGGGCCACUUCUCAGAUACAAGUAUGGAAUUGGCUGCCGCCCCUCCCGGUAUUACGGACCUUCUCACUCAAAGGACAAUUUUGGAGCACUUGUUUCUGAAAAGACCCACGGAGGGCGAGUUUUGGUACGUGAUUGUCGCCGAAUGGAUUGAACAGCUCAAACGAUACAUUGGCUUGCCUACAACGCGGAAGUUUUAUCAUCAGCGGACGAACCCUGGUCCGAUAAUUACCCGACGUGACUACGCACAUACCGUUGACGUAGUACACGAGGACGCAUGGCGUAUGAUGAUCCAGUGGUACGGACUGACAGACGGUCACAAACCAAUCAAACUUGUUGUGUAUAACUACAGGCGGGGACCGGAAAUUGAGCACAACCAAAACUCUUUCAAGGUGAUGCUAAGCGUUUCAUCGCUAGAAGACUUCCAUCAUGUCAAAUUCAGCAAAAUGGAGAAAGUUGGCCAUAUUGAAUAUAAAAUUCGUCAGCUGUACUGUAUUCCAAAAGACCAGCAAUCAAGAAUCUGGGUUAAAACGGACACAGACAGUGAAUGGCGACUUUUGCUGAACCGCGACAAAACUAUAGGUAAAUGCCUGGACAUCGAUUCGGACUUCGUUCGUCCAACUGUAGCACUUGAAAUUUGCGUCGAGGACGAAAAAUGGGUCAACGCUCCUCAAGACGCGACAGAAAUCCAGGAAAGCCCAACAGGUCCCCUGUACGAGCACAACAUCUUCACGGACCUCACCAGCAGCUGGGAGGUUGAUAUUCACGAGCAGAUAGACCACAUCGGCAAAAGCUUGGUGGACAACCUCCAUGUCAACUUCAGCGCUUUCGUUCAGAAAGCCCGGGAGUUUGUUGAUGAACGGGACUACCAUCUACGUCAGAGAGAACGUGACAUUUACCUCCGAGAGACGUUCAUUGAUGACCUCACCGAGAAACUGGAGGACAAAGAAAAAGUUCUCGACGCUCAACUGGAGUCUUGCGAGAGACAACUGAAUGAGUGUGACAGACGUAAAAAAGAGAUUGAAGUUGAAUGUAAGAAACAACGGGAGGAAUUGGAUCGCCUGGAGGAACGACGGAGGACCGAGUUCAAAACACUGAAAGAGAACUUUGAAAUGGAGCGGGACAAGUUUCAUUCAGAAUUACAGCGGAUGUCAGAAAUGUACAAAAUCCAGGACAAUCGCAUCAAACUUGAUAUUGGAGGUCAACUGUUUACGACGUCAUUAACGACCUUGAACCGUGACCCGGAAUCGAUGCUAGCCGCCAUGUUUAGUGGACGCCAUGAACUGAAAAAAGAAGAUAGUAGCGGAAGUUACUUCAUUGACAGGGACGGAACGCACUUUCGAUACAUUCUGAAUUUUUUGAGGGACGGCGAAAUCAAGGACGGCACGAUUCCAGAGAACCCUAACUUAUGGCGGGAACUGUUAACUGAAGCUGAGUACUACCAGAUACAGGGACUUGUGGGAUAUCUACAGUCACUGCUCCAUAACCUUCCGCAGCGAGUUGAAUCCCCUGUCAGUGAUACAACUUUUGUAUGAAUAUGCAACACAAUCUAUACCCUCCUCCUCGCUCCAAGGGCAAGGUCCGUCCCGCUUUGCACACCCCUUUCGGCUUUCAGCCAAGUACGCCAAAGUCCGUCUUAGUUCUCUCAACAUAUUCGACAUUUUGUGUUCAAAGUCUUGACAAUUACUUGUGACGGUGUAAGCAGACAGUACUAAGAAAGUAAUUCUUUAUUUGAUUAAUCAGCACAUAUAAAUGAACAACUCUGUAAAAUAAAUGAUUUAUAAAUAAAUAAAAUGCAUGUAAUAAACAGAUAAGAUU
rnacentral:misc_RNA from 1 species